rnacentral:rRNA from 1 species
UACGUAGGGGGCAAGCGUUAAUCGGAAUUACUGGGCGUAAAGCGUGCGCAGGCGGUUCGUUAAGUUCGAUGUGAAAGCCCCGGGCUCAACCUGGGAAUGGCAUUGGAAACUGGCGGACUCGAGUGUGGCAGAGGGGGGUGGAAUUCCGCGUGUAGCAGUGAAAUGCGUAGAGAUGCGGAGGAACACCGAUGGCGAAGGCAGCCCCCUGGGCUAACACUGACGCUCAGGCACGAAAGCGUGGGGAGCAAACAGG